GAUGAACGCUGGCGGCGUGCCUAAUACAUGCAAGUCGAACGAAACUUCUUUAUCACCGAGUGCUUGCACUCACCGAUAAAGAGUUGAGUGGCGAACGGGUGAGUAACACGUGGGCAACCUGCCCAAAAGAGGGGGAUAACACAUGGAAACAGGUGCUAAUACCGCAUAACCAUAGUUACCGCAUGGUAACUAUGUAAAAGGUGGCUAUACUACCGCUUUUGGAUGGGCCCGCGGCGCAUUAGCUAGUUGGUAGGGUAAAGGCUUACCAAGGCAAUGAUGCGUAGCCGAAUUGAGAGGUUGAUCGGCCACAUUGGGACUGAGACACGGCCCAAACUCCUACGGGAGGCAGCAGUAGGGAAUCUUCCACAAUGGGCGAAAGCCUGAUGGAGCAACGCCGCGUGGGUGAAGAAGGUCUUCGGAUCGUAAAACCCUGUUGUUAGAGAAGAAAGUGCGUGAGAGUAACUGUUCACGUUUCGACGGUAUCUAACCAGAAAGCCACGGCUAACUACGU
rnacentral:rRNA from 1 species